UGAGGAAUAUUGGUCAAUGGCCGGAAGGCUGAACCAGCCAAGCCGCGUGAAGGACGAAGGUGCCAAAGCAUUGUAAACUUCUUUUGUCAAGGGACAAAAUCAGGCUCGAGAGCCUGACCGAGGGUACUUGAAGAAAAAGCAUCGGCUAACUCCGUGCC
rnacentral:rRNA from 1 species